rnacentral:rRNA from 1 species
UACGGAGGGAGCUAGCGUUGUUCGGAAUUACUGGGCGUAAAGCGCACGUAGGCGGUUACUCAAGUCAGAGGUGAAAGCCCGGGGCUCAACCCCGGAACUGCCUUUGAAACUAGGUAGCUAGAAUCUUGGAGAGGUCAGUGGAAUUCCGAGUGUAGAGGUGAAAUUCGUAGAUAUUCGGAAGAACACCAGUGGCGAAGGCGACUGACUGGACAAGUAUUGACGCUGAGGUACGAAAGCGUGGGGAGCAAACAGG